GGCGCGGCGGUCCCCGGACCCCCGAGCGGGCCCUGCCCCGAGACCCGGCGGGGAAACGUCCCCGAGGGCAGCGGAGGACCUUAGGGCGGCCCUGGCGCCCCUCACGCCCGGGAGCUUCCCCGGGGCCGGUCCCUGCCCGAGCAGCCCGGGGUCUCCGCGGAGAACCGGGCACGGGGCCGGGCUGCCCCCCGGGUUCGGCUGCCUGCUGGGGYGSGGGGGCCCCGCCGGCCAGGCACAGGGCGCCCUGGGGAGAGGGUCAGAGCCGUUAGCGGAUUUGGGCAGGGGCAAUGCGGCGGCUUCUUCUCUUCUCAGCCCAGCCGUCAGCGCCAGGAGGCUGCAGAGAGGCACUGGGGCACCUGCAGCUGGACCGACAAAGUCUUUCAGUGUCUGAGCCCAGCAGUGAGUGCAAACGCUUCCCGCACACUGGUGUGUUGCAGCCAGCGUCUCCAGGCUAGCUCUGAGUAGGUGAAGGGAACAAGCCCCAGUCCCCAGGCUGUGCUGGGAGCCCAGGUGGCCCCACCAUUCCCAGCAGGGACUGCCAGGCUUGCUGAGCGCUGCCCUACCGGCAUGUUGAGGUCAGGGCUUCAGGGCUGGGUAURUGAGCUGGGAACUCCUGCUUGACAGAGCUGUGUCCUUGCUGCAGUUCUGCUGCCAUGUCCUCACAGGGGCUUUUGUCAGCGCAGGCGAUGCUGUGGCAGUGCAACGAGGAGUCAGAAAUGCUCAGCCAUGAGCCUCCGUGAGGAGCACAAACACCUGCCCCGGGAGAGGAGUGUUGGAGGACACAGGAACUGCAGGAAAUCUUGGGGACAGAGGAGCCCCAGCAGCGCCAUCAGAGACAGCCGGUGCAAGUGCCCUAGCGUCGCCCCAGCACUGGAUCUCCGACGCUGCCGCCUGCACACAGAGCCUGGGACAGCGUGUCCGGUAGGAGGGGCUGUGUCCCUGCCCCUCUCACCCGCACGGGGACGUCGGGGCCUCGGAGGCGCUUCCUGGGGAGCCCGGGGGCAUUUUCCCCUGCUGCCUUCUCCCUAAAUCGCCUGCAGGGCUUGUGUCACUGCUGAGGAACAGCUCCAGCCUCACUGCCUGCCUCUGCAUCACGUCCAGGGGUGCAGACACCGCGCGAUGGCCUCGCACCUCCUUUCUGUGCUGGGAAAGGGAACCGGCAGAGCCACGACAUGAGGUUUAGUUCAUCCUUGUCAGAAGGCACCCGGCUCUCUGCUCGCAGCAGCACAACUCCACUCACUUCCCUCCUGCCCUGCGCACGGCCCCGCUCCUGGCUGGGGACGACCUGCCUGCGCCCGCCUGGCUCUCGGCCUCCGCAGAAACCCUGCUGGGAUGGGAGUACAGUGCCAGCUUGGGACAGCUCAGGUCCAGCUUGGGCUCCUCACAGCAAUCUUGGGGACUGACAAGGUCAUAAAUCAAUCACUGUCACAACUUGCGUAUUAAUAUCAUCUUUAAUAUUGCACACACAUUGCACAACUAGUUUAUGAACAGUGUCCACACAUUGAAUAAAUAUUCUGUGUCUUGUACA
rnacentral:lncRNA from 1 species